rnacentral:rRNA from 1 species
UACGUAGGGUGCAAGCGUUGUCCGGAAUUAUUGGGCGUAAAGAGCUCGUAGGCGGUUUGUCGCGUCUGCUGUGAAAACCGGAGGCUCAACCUCCGGCCUGCAGUGGGUACGGGCAGACUAGAGUGCGGUAGGGGAGAUUGGAAUUCCUGGUGUAGCGGUGGAAUGCGCAGAUAUCAGGAGGAACACCGGUGGCGAAGGCGGGUCUCUGGGCCGAUACUGACGCUGAGGAGCGAAAGCGUGGGGAGCAAACAGG